UUUUUAAUAUAUUUUUGCUCCACGCGAGAAACAUGCGUACGUGCACGGAAUAUAUUACGAACGGUUCCUUAUUUUCAACAUUUUCGGUAAGUUUUAGCUCGCGGGUCAUUAUCCACGCGUGUAGGGGCGGCGUUGCGGUGGAAAAGUGGUCGGGUUCUGAAAGGGGUCGAAACCGCGGUAAAACCUCUAGUUGGUGCGGUAGAGACGGAGGGGUGGAGACCGUGGUAAACAUGUGUACGUUGUUGAGCGGGAGAGUAAGUGGUACGGUGCGGUAUUCGUUAUUAGGCAGCGUUGGCAAAGAGUGCUCGAUCGUGUUUGUGGUUGAGCCGGGAGGGGCGACCAUAAUGGACGAAGGCGGGGGUAACAUGUCGGAUGCCGAUCAUACCAGCACUAAAGCAUCGGAUCCCAUCAGAACUCUGAAGUUAAGCGUGCUUGGGCGAGAGUAGUACUAGGAUGGGUGACCAGUAGUACUAGGAUGGGUGACCUCCUGGGAAGUCCUCGUGUUGCAUUCCC
rnacentral:rRNA from 1 species